UCAAAAAGUAAUCCCAAACAAAAUUUAUGCUGGGAAGAAAGUAAACUGAAAAUUUAUCUGAAAAAAUGAGCUCCAACGGAGAAGAUUACGAAAGAAUCUCGGGCUUGGCGAAGCCUCUUGUGGAAUGAUAAACAGAGCUUAUCAAAUGAUCACAGUGUGAUAAAAGUACAACCAGAGACUAGCCGUAGGCCCUUCUUUAUAGAAGCUGUGUGUCCCAGAAAGACAACAUUACCAAGCAUGCCUGUGAUAAGGAAUUUUAAGCACUCAAAGCAUUUAUAGGACAAGCAGCAAGAAAAUUAAAGUGUAAAGACUUGAAAAGAGAGAACAACUGCACCUAUUGCAGAAAAGUUCAGAAACAGAAGAUGUCACAGGGACCCACUCACUUUUUGUCUAGGAAAAAAAUGUCGGAAGGAGACAUUUACGCUUGUGGAAACUUUAAAGGAAUGAAUUGGAAGUCCCUGUGCUCAUUUUGAAUGCUACCAUUUUUAUAGUUUUUCUAUUUGUUUUG